rnacentral:rRNA from 1 species
AAGGUGUAUAUCGCCAUUGCUGCGGUUAAAAAGCUCGUAGUUGGAUCUGCGCCUUCGGACUCGGUCCGCCCAACGGGUGUGAACUGGGAUCCAAGGCUUAUACUGCUGGUUUUCCCGCGAUGCUCUUCAUUGGGUGUCGCGGGUGGCUAGCGAGUUUACUUUGAAAAAAUUAGAGUGCUCAAAACAGGCUAACGCCUGCAUACUCGUGCAUGGAAUAAUAGAAUAGGACCACGGCUCUAUUUUAUUGGUUUUCGGAACUGUGGUAAUGGUUAAGAGGGACAGACGGGGGCAUUCGUAUCGCUGCGUGAGAGGUGAAAUUCUUGGACCGCAGCGAGACGCCCUACUG